CACUCCUGCGGGAGGCAGCAGUGGGGAAUAUUGGACAAUGGGCGAAAGCCUGAUCCAGCAAUGCCGCGUGAGUGAUGAAGGCCUUAGGGUUGUAAAGCUCUUUUACCCGGGAUGAUAAUGACAGUACCGGGAGAAUAAGCCCCGGCUAACUCCGUGCCAGCAGCCGCGGUAAUACGGAGGGGGCUAGCGUUGUUCGGAAUUACUGGGCGUAAAGCGCGCGUAGGCGGCUUUGUAAGUUAGAGGUGAAAGCCCGGAGCUCAACUUCGGAAUUGCCUUUAAGACUGCAUCGCUAGAAUCGUGGAGAGGUGAGUGGAAUUCCGAGUGUAGAGGUGAAAUUCGUAGAUAUUCGGAAGAACACCAGUGGCGAAGGCGACUCACUGGACACGUAUUGACGCUGAGGUGCGAAAGCGUGGGGAGCAAACAGGAUUAGAUACCCUUGUAGUCCCA
rnacentral:rRNA from 1 species